UACAUGUACAACAUCAAAAAGAACAUCACAUAUCAAAAUUGUUAAUUAGAAGAAAUAUAAAAUAAAACACGUACAAAUGCCAAAAGAACUUUCUUCUUCUUGAACACAAAUAGCUUGAAAUAGUGACAUCAAUGACGUUCACAAUCACUACUACAAAAUAGGGAAAAGAUAACACAUCUAUAAUAACAAGUAUUGUAGUAACUGUUAUCUUUAAUAAAAAUUAACAUUUUAAUAAAAGGAGCGUUAUCUAAAGUUAGGAAAUCAUCAAUAUAAAAGAAAAGACUUAACCCUUUAUAAAUUAGGCGUUAUCUUUUAUCCCUCAUUCAUAACUUUAUAUUCUCUAACAUAAUAUUUACCAUAAUACAUCGUUAUCUUUGCUAUUUUUUUUAGAAAAAAUUUAAUUCCCUAAAAAACAAAACAAAAUUAAUAGGAUUCCCUCUCUUUUGUAAUCUAAAACCGUACUAACUAUUCAGUUUCUCGUCAAUCCUUCACUUAGUAGUUAUUUCUUAGGGUUACAUCGCCCCAAACAUAAACACAAUAACUCAAUAAACAGCUUCAUUGUCCUUUUCACUGGCGUCGAGAGAAGCAUUUAGGAGGAGGCCGACGAUUGUCGGGGAAGCGAUGGUAGUCGCCAGGCCGUGGAACAAAUGGUUGCUUCAUCAAUGAAAACGAAAGCUUAAUCAGAUGUUGUUGUUGUUGUGGCUGCUGCUACGAUUGCUGGCAUUUAAGCAACUGAGAAAUUCGAAGAUUAGCUGAUAAUAUGAUUCAAUUGGGCAAAGAUGUAAGUAUAUGAGUCUCAAAUGUUAUCUAAAGUUGGGUUUUUUUUUGCAUGAAAAGAACUAUGGUAGCUAAUAAUGGUAUUCUGAAUUCCUGAUUCUUCUUUUAUCUAGUACUACGAAUGUACAGUAUAAUAUAUCAAUUUAGUGAAAUAGGUUGAAACAUUUAGUGCUUACUUCACUAAACUAUAUAGAUAUGUUAUUUCACCGUACUGUAAAGACCUAUAUAUUACAUUUCACUGAA